rnacentral:ribozyme from 1 species
GGAAAUCUGAAUCCACAAAAACACGAAAAAAACAAGAAAACACGAAAUCAAAAGUAAUUAAGUUCCUAGGUCUUUGCUACUGUCCUAUGGUUAUUGUUGUCCCUUACCCUCCUAAA